rnacentral:rRNA from 1 species
GUCCACGCCGUAAACGAUGGGCACUAGGUGCUUGGGGAGCGACCCUCCGAGUGCCGGCGCUAACGCAUUAAGUGCCCCGCCUGGGGAGUACGGCCGCAAGGCUGAAACUCAAAGGAAUUGACGGGGGCCCGCACAAGCGGUGGAGCAUGUGGUUUAAUUCGACGCAACGCGAAGAACCUUACCUGGGCUUGACAUGCACGGGAAAGCUCUCAGAAAGGGGGAGCCCCUCUUCGGAGUCCGUGCACAGGUGCUGCAUGGCUGUCGU